rnacentral:rRNA from 1 species
CCCAUAGGCCGAGAGGUUAAAGGCAGAGAUGCGCGACGGGAGGUACUCGUGUCCUAUCAGCUAGUUGGUGAGGUAACGGCUCACCAAGGCGACGACGGGUAGCCGGCCUGAGAGGGUGACCGGCCACACUGGAACUGAGAUACGGUCCAGACUCCUACGGGAGGCAGCAGUGGGGAGUAUUGGGCAAUGGGAGGAAUCCUGACCCAGCGACGCCGCGUGAACGAAGACGGCCUUCGGGUUGUAAAGUUCUUUUAUGUGGGAAGAAGGAAGUGACGGUACCACAUGGAUAAGCCCCGGCUAACUACGUGCCAGCAGCCGCGGUAAUACGUAGGGGGCGAGCGUUGUACGGAAUUACUGGGCGUAAAGGGCACGCAGGCUGUGCUUCAAGUCAGCUGUAAAAGGAUGCGGCUUAACCGUGUUAUGCGGUUGAGACUGAGGUGCUGGAGUACCGGAGAGGCAAGUGGAAUUCCCAGUGUAGCGGUGAAAUGCGUAGAUAUUGGGAAGAACAUCGGUGGCGAAGGCGACUUGCUGGACGGUAACUGACGCUGAGGUGCGAAAGCCAGGGUAGCGAACGGGAUUAGAUACCCCGGUGGUCCUGGCUGUAAACGAUGAAUGCUAGGUGUGCGAGCAGAGAUGUUGGUGUGC